AUUGAUCGCUGGCGGCACGCCUAACACAUGCAAGUCGAACGAGUGGCGGACGGGUGAGUAAUGUCUGGGAAACUGCCAGAUGGAGGGGGAUAACUACUGGAAACGGUAGCUAAUACCGCAUCCCAUCAGAAGUGCCCAGAUGGGAUUAGCUUGUGGGUGUGGUAACGGCUCACCAAGGCGACGAUCCCUAGCUGGUCUGAGAGGAUGACCAGCCACACUGGAACUGAGACACGGUGCAGACUACUACGGGAGGCAGCCGUGGGGAAUAUUGCACAAUGGGCGCAAGCCUGAUGCAGCCAUGCCGCGUGUAUGAAGAAGGCCUUCGGGUUGUAAAGUACUUUCAGCGGGGGGGCGUUACCCGCAGAAGAAGCACCGGCGAACGCCGUGCCAGCAGCCGCAGUAAUUC
rnacentral:rRNA from 1 species